rnacentral:rRNA from 1 species
CUACGGGGUGCUGCAGUGGGGAAUUUUGCGCAAUGGGCGAAAGCCUGACGCAGCAAUACCGCGUGAGUGAAGAAGGCCUUUGGGUCGUAAAACUCUUUUCUGGGGGAAGAUAGUGACGGUACCCCAGGAAUAAGCACCGGCUAACUCCGUGCCAGCAGCCGCGGUAAUACGGAGGGUGCAGGCGUUGCUCGGAUUUACUGGGCGUAAAGGGCACGUAGGCGGCACAGCAAGUUAAGGGUGAAAUCCCGGGGCUCAACUCCGGAACUGCUCUUAAAACUGCUGAGCUAGAGAUAGUCAGAGGCGGGUGGAAUUCCUGGUGUAGAGGUGAAAUUCGUAGAUAUCAGGAGGAACACCGGUGGCGAAGGCGGCCCGCUGGGGCUAUUCUGACGCUAAGGUGCGAAAGCGUGGGGAGCGAACGGGAUUAGAUACCCGUGUAGUC